AGAGUUUGAUCCUGGCUCAGGACGAACGCUGGCGGCGUGCCUAACACAUGCAAGUCGAACGGAGUGAUUUGAAAGCUUGCUUUUGAAUCACUUAGUGGCGGACGGGUGAGUAACGCGUGAGGAACCUGCCUUUCAGAGGGGGAUAACGUCUGGAAACGGACGCUAAUACCGCAUGACAUUUUAGAGUCACAUGGCUUUAGAAUCAAAGGAGCAAUCCGCUGGAAGAUGGACUCGCGUCCGAUUAGCCAGUUGGCGGGGUAACGGCCCACCAAAGCGACGAUCGGUAGCCGGACUGAGAGGUUGAACGGCCACAUUGGGACUGAGACACGGCCCAGACUCCUACGGGAGGCAGCAGUGGGGGAUAUUGCACAAUGGAGGAAACUCUGAUGCAGCAACGCCGCGUGAGGGAAGACGGUCUUCGGAUUGUAAACCUUUGUCCUUGGUGAAGAUAAUGACGGUAGCCGAGGAGGAAGCUCCGGCUAACUACGUGCCAGCAGCCGCGGUAAUACGUAGGGAGCAAGCGUUGUCCGGAUUUACUGGGUGUAAAGGGUGCGUAGGCGGCUCUGCAAGUCAGGUGUGAAAACCAUCGGCUCAACUGAUGGACUGCAUUUGAAACUGUGGGGCUUGAGUGAAGUAGAGGCAGGCGGAAUUCCCGGUGUAGCGGUGGAAUGCGUAGAGAUCGGGAGGAACACCAGUGGCGAAGGCGGGCCUGCUGGGCUUUAACUGACGCUGAGGCACGAAAGCAUGGGUAGCAAACAGGAUUAGAUACCCUGGUAGUCCAUGCUGUAAACGAUGAUUACUAGG
rnacentral:rRNA from 1 species